AUCUGAAAAGGGCAAACUCCGCGAAAGCGGAGGACGCAAAGUCAACGGUCUAAUGAGCCUUCGGGCUCGAUGACGGCAGGACUGCCAGA
rnacentral:ncRNA from 1 species